UACGAAGGGUGCAAGCGUUACUCGGAAUUACUGGGCGUAAAGCGCACGCAGGCGGCCUGUCAAGUCGGAUGUGAAAUCCCCGGGCUCAACCUGGGAACUGCAUUCGAAACUGGCAGGCUAGAGUCUUGUAGAGGGGGGUAGAAUUCCAGGUGUAGCGGUGAAAUGCGUAGAGAUCUGGAGGAAUACCGGUGGCGAAGGCGGCCCCCUGGACAAAGACUGACGCUCAGGUGCGAAAGCGUGGGGAGCAAACAGG
rnacentral:rRNA from 1 species